rnacentral:rRNA from 1 species
AUUGAACGCUGGCGGCAGGCCUAACACAUGCAAGUCGAGCGGGGUUUUCGGACCUAGCGGCGGACGGGUGAGUAAUGCGUAGGAAGCUACCCGAUAGAGGGGGAUACCAGCUGGAAACGACUGUUAAUACCGCAUAAUGUCUACGGACCAAAGUGUGGGACCUUCGGGCCACAUGCUAUCGGAUGCGCCUACGUGGGAUUAGCUAGUUGGUGAGGUAAUGGCUCACCAAGGCGACGAUCCCUAGCUGGUUUGAGAGGAUGAUCAGCCACACUGGAACUGAGAAACGGUCCAGACUCCUACGGGAGGCAGCAGUGGGGAAUAUUGGACAAUGGGCGCAAGCCUGAUCCAGCCAUGCCGCGUGUGUGAAGAAGGCCUUCGGGUUGUAAAGCACUUUCAGUAGGGAGGAAGCGUUGUGUGUUAAUAGUACACAGCGUUGACGUUACCUACAGAAGAAGCACCGGCUAACUCUGUGCCAGCCGCCGCCGUAACAC